rnacentral:rRNA from 1 species
GAUCCUGGCUCAGGACGAACGCUGGCGGCGUGCUUAACACAUGCAAGUCGAACGGGGCAUAGAGAUAUGCCUAGUGGCGGACGGGUGAGUAACACGUGAGCAACCUAUCCUAUACAACGGGAUAACACAGAGAAAUUUGUGCUAAUACGGUAUAAAACCACACUCCGGCAUCGGAGAGGGGUAAAAGCUGAGGCGGUAUAGGAGGGGCUCGCGGCCCAUUAGCUAGUUGGAGAGGUAACGGCUCACCAAGG